CAAACGCUUUCAGAGGUGAAGGUUGAAAGUUAAAGGUGAAGGCCGCGAGUAACAACAACAACAAAAUAGUGUAAUCAAGGAAAUAAAAGGGAAUAUUUGACUAAGUACCUGAAACCUCUUAUCAGAAUGGCAUCCAGGCUGCUGACUAAGAGAGUGGUGUACCUACCAAAUAUACGGGCAGCUGUGAACCAUUUUAGAGCUUUUUCCUGGCACAAUAAUGGAGAAAAUGCAGAUAAUUAUAAAGUUGUUGGAGAGACAGAUUCAGGUAAAGUUAAGUUGAUGUUUUCCUU